rnacentral:rRNA from 1 species
GGAAACGGUGGCUAAUACCGGAUAAGCCUAUGGGUAAAAGAUUUAUUGCCCCAAGAGGAGCUCGCGUCUGAUUAGCUAGUUGGUGAGGUAAAAGCUCACCAAGGCAGCGAUCAGUAGCUGGUCUGAGAGGACGAUCAGCCACACUGGGACUGAGACACGGCCCAGACUCCUACGGGAGGCAGCAGUGGGGAAUUUUCCGCAAUGGGCGAAAGCCUGACGGAGCAAGACCGCGUGAGGGAGGAAGGCUCUUGGGUUGUAAACCUCUUUUCUCAGGGAAGAAGCUCUGACGGUACCUGAGGAAUCAGCCUCGGCUAACUCCGUGCCAGCAGCCGCGGUAAUACGGAGGAGGCAAGCGUUAUCCGGAAUGAUUGGGCGUAAAGCGUCCGCAGGUGGCCGUUCAAGUCUGCUGUCAAAUCCAGGGGCUCAACUCCUGACCGGCAGUGGAAACUGAACAGCUAGAGUGCGGUAGGGGCAGAGGGAAUUCCCGGUGUAGCGGUGAAAUGCGUAGAGAUCGGGAAGAACACCGGUGGCGAAAGCGCUCUGCUGGGCCGCAACUGACACUCAGGGACGAAAGCUAGGGGAGCGAAUGGGAUUAGAUACCC